rnacentral:sRNA from 1 species
UGCUGAUGUUGUGGCUAUUUGAGGCGAGC